rnacentral:rRNA from 1 species
CAGUAGCCGCGGGAAAACGUAGGUGGCGAGCGUUGUCCGGAUUUAUUGGGCGUAAAGGGAGUGUAGGCGGUCUUUUAAGUCUGAUGUGAAAGCCCACGGCUCAACCGUGGAGGGUCAUUGGAAACUGGGAGACUUGAGUGCAGAAGAGGAGAGCGGAAUUCCAUGUGUAGCGGUGAAAUGCGUAGGUAUAUGGAGGAACACCAGUGGCGAAGGCGGCUCUCUGGUCUGUAACUGACGCUCAUGCACGAAAGCGUGGGGAGCAAACAGGAUUAGAUACCCCAGUAGUCCCUGUCUCUUAUAC